UACGUAGGUGGCGAGCGUUGUCCGGAUUUACUGGGCGUAAAGGGCGUGCAGGCGGUUUGUUAAGUGCAGGGUGAAAGCUCCCGGCUCAACUGGGAGAGGUCCUUGCAUACUGGCGAACUCGAGGGAGGCAGAGGAAAGUGGAAUUCCCGGUGUAGUGGUGAUAUGCGUAGAUAUCGGGAGGAACACCUGUGGCGAAGGCGGCUUGCUGGGCCUUACCUGACGCUGAGACGCGAAAGCGUGGGGAGCGAACCGG
rnacentral:rRNA from 1 species